rnacentral:lncRNA from 1 species
AAGCCACUGUGUACGUGCAAAGUCUGUGACACUGCAAUUGCCCUUUCAAAAAGCAGAAGUGCUGAUACAUGGACCCCAUAACUCAGACUCUUCUCCAGUCUGCCAAACAACUGGAGUUGCUAAUGGCUCUAACUUUCUGGCCGGUGUGUGUGUGGCUGCUAUAGCUUACCCAAAGACUGUUCAAGAAACCUCGUCCUCCAGGAAUGCAUCCAUCUUUGUACUGGACUGUGUUUGCUGAAACUGGUGUCUGCAAUGAGAAAGAUGAGCAAAUCGAGACCCUGACUCCCUAUUCCUUGACCUACCAGCCAAAGAAAUUAGGAGGCUGGGAAGCCAAACUGGAAUUUAGAGAACAAUAGCAGCCUGGAGAAAAGCCCUGUGGAAUUCUCCUGGCCUCUCUCGUCCUCCUUGGAACCCCAGUCUGUUGGGAAAGAGGAGAAAGGACUGGAGAUACUGACUGAGGCAUAGCUGGGGAUCAGAACCAGCCUCUGUGCCUGAGAAACCGCAGCCAUGAGAAACCACCACAGCCCUAUAUUUUGGAAGACCUAGGAGCUAGCCUGAGAUCAGCACCUCAUCUGUGGUAGGGAAACAUGAGCACACAGAUGGGGCACAGAAAACACACUGCGGGACUUUGAUCCACUAACCACUUGAUCUCCAGAGUUGAUACAAGUCCUGGUCCAACUGGCAGGCUCCUGGCAUCAGUACUUCUCUGGCUCGCACCUCCCGGUCUGUGCAAAUUGUUUAAGAAAAGCAGGGAGGAUGGAGGCAAAGGCAAGGGGCUCAGAUAUAAAGGAAACCUGCCACACACCAAAUCCUGGGUGAGCUCUUGCCAUCUGUAUCACCUUCAUUCUCUUCCAUGGCAUUGUAUCCUUCCAACAGCCCACUGAAAUGAUGGGUACUGAAACUGAG